GAUGAAGAACGUAGUGAAAUGCGAUAAGUAGUGUGAAUUGCAGAAUUCAGUGAAUCAUCGAAUCUUUGAACGCACAUUGCGCCCUUUGGUAUUCCUUAGGGCAUGCCUGUUCGAGCGUCAUCUAAACCUUCAAGCCCUGCUUGGUGUUGGGUGCCUGUCCCGCCUCCGCGCGUGGACUCACCUCAAAUCCAUUGGCGGCCCCCGCGUCGGCCACGAGCGCAGCAGAAACGCGAACUCGUGAGCCCGUCCGGGCGGCUCCCAGAAGCUAACCCCCAAUUUUUGACCUCGGAUCAGGUAGGGAUACCCGCUGAACUUAAGCAUAUCAAUAAGCGGAGGA
rnacentral:misc_RNA from 1 species